AUCCAGCUGACAACGAGUCCCGAAUAGAACGAAAUGCGCAUCCUGGAU
rnacentral:hammerhead_ribozyme from 1 species